rnacentral:RNase_P_RNA from 1 species
AGGUGCGACCGUAAGCCGAGUUCUGUUGUGGUAGUUAUUUAUCUAAGCUUGGUUUUACAAUCAAGCUUUAGCGAAGGGUUGAGUAUAAGACUCCAAACCGUCCCUUCUUGCUGCAAGUUGGGUUUACAUAGCUAUUCGUGUCGCCACAAAUACUGGUGGGCUCUUACCCCGCCGUUUCACCAUCACCGCCAAAGCGGCAGUUUACUUUCUGUUGCACUAUCCCUUAGGUUACCCCAGCCACCCGUUAGGUGGAACUUUGUCUUAUAGCAGCUCGGACUUUCCUCAUGCAUUCAUGCAACUACCCGUCGCACCGAG